AUUGAACGCUGGCGGCAGGCCUAACACAUGCAAGUCGAGCGAGCGGCGGACGGGUGAGUAAUGUCUGGGAAACUGCCUGAUGGAGGGGGAUAACUACUGGAAACGGUGGCUAAUACCGCAUACUAUCAGAUGUGCCCAGAUGGGAUUAGCUAGUAGGUGGGGUGAUGGCUCACCUAGGCGACGAUCCCUAGCUGGUCUGAGAGGAUGACCAGCCACACUGGAAUGGAGACACGUUCCAGACUCCUACGGGAGGCAGCAGUGGGGAAUAUUGCACAAUGGGCGCAAGCCUGAUGCAGCCAUGCCGCGUGUGUGAAGAAGGCCUUAGGGUUGUAAAGUACUUUCAGCGGGGAGGCGUUACCCGCAGAAGAAGCACCGGCUAACUCCGUGCCAGCAGCCGCGGUAAUAC
rnacentral:rRNA from 1 species